UACGGGGGGGGCAAGCGUUGUUCGGAAUUACUGGGCGUAAAGGGCUCGUAGGCGGCCAACUAAGUCGGACGUGAAAUCCCCAGGCUCAACCUGGGAACUGCGUCCGAUACUGGAUGGCUUGAAUCCGGGAGAGGGAUGCAGAAUUCCAGGUGUAGCGGUGAAAUGCGUAGAUAUCGUAAGGAAGACCAGUGGCGAAGGCGGGUCUCUGGACAGUUCCUGACGCUGAGGCACGAAGGUCAGGGGAGCAAACGGG
rnacentral:rRNA from 1 species